rnacentral:sRNA from 1 species
UUUUUUUUUUAAAUAGUUGUCAAAAUCUAGUUCAAAUAUUGGAGAAAUAAGAUUUAGUGAACUGAUAGUAAAUGUAUUUAUUUGCGUUUUGCUCAUUUUAAGGGAUUGCAAUUGUAUUUUGGUUUGUCAAAUAUUUUUUAUUUUAAAUAGUUUCCAAAAUCUAGUUUAAAUUUUGGAGAAAUUUGCGUGAUAUAUGGGAUUAGAAUAUAUUUGGAAUAUGUUUUGUUUGUUAAUCAAUUUAUUGCCAAAAGAAAACCAAUAAUUAAAAGCCAGGGGCAGGUAUUGUAAAUAAGUUCGAACUCUAGGAUUUAUUUCACAAAAUGGCUGCAAAAAUAUAUAUAUAGAUAAAUAUUUGGGGGUGUUUGGUGGUGUUUCCAUAUUUUGGAGAUUUGUUGAGAGUUGGAUAAUUGGUGAUUUGGUCUGAUUGGUUAGAUUUUUAU